rnacentral:rRNA from 1 species
GACGAACGCUGGCGGCGUGCUUAACACAUGCAAGUCGAACGGAAAGGCCCUGCUUUUGUGGGGUGCUCGAGUGGCGAACGGGUGAGUAACACGUGAGUAAUCUGCCCUUGACUUUGGGAUAACUUCAGGAAACUGGGGCUAAUACCGGAUAGGAGCUCCUGCUGCAUGGUGGGGGUUGAAAAGUUUCGGCGGUUGGGGAUGGACUCGCGGCUUAUCAGCUUGUUGGUGGGGUAGUGGCUUACCAAGGCUUUGACGGGUAGCCGGCCUGAGAGGGUGACCGGCCACAUUGGGACUGAGAUACGGCCCAGACUCCUACGGGAGGCAGCAGUGGGGAAUAUUGCACAAUGGGCGGAAGCCUGAUGCAGCAACGCCGCGUGCGGGAUGACGGCCUUCGGGUUGUAAACCGCUUUCGCCUGUGACGAAGCGUGAGUGACGGUAAUGGGUAAAGAAGCACCGGCUAACUACGUG